rnacentral:rRNA from 1 species
UAUCUCUGUAGAGUCUGCAUAUCAAUAAGCGGAGGAAAAGAAACUAACAAGGAUUCCCUAGUAACGGCGAGUGAAGCGGGAAGAGCUCAAAUUUGAAAUCUUCAAGGGUUUACCUUUACGAAUUGUAGUUUAAAGAAGUGUUUUCUGUUGAAGUUUCGGUAAAAGUUCUUUGGAAUAGGACAUCAUAGAGGGUGAGAAUCCCGUAUUUGACCGUUAUUUUCAGCUGUGUGAUACACUUUCAAAGAGUCGGAUUGUUUGGGAAUGCAGUCCAAAAUGGGUGGUAAAUUUCAUCUAAAGCUAAAUAUUGGCGAGAGACCGAUAGCGAACAAGUACCGUGAGGGAAAGAUGAAAAGAACUUUGAAAAGAGAGUUAAACAGUACGUGAAAUUGUCAAAAGGGAAGCGUUUGACACCAGUGUUGUUUUCUCGAAAAUCAAUUAAAAAUGGCUUGAUUUUGUGUUGUAUUGACCUUAAAAGCUUUCUUCACUUUUUUCAUGUCUUUUUUAAUGCACUUUUCGUUUAACAAGUCAACAUCAGUUUCUUUUGUUGUAAAAAGGUCAUUGGAAGGUGGCUUUCUUUUCGGAGAAAGUGUUUAUAGCCUUUGACUUCUGCAAUCGGAGAGACUGAGGUCUGCAGCGUAGAUCCUUCUGGAUUAGAUUCAUUUGUGCUAAGUUACAACCGUUUAUAGACAACUUGUUGACUAUAUUCGAUCCUGUAGCUUACUCGCUUAUGUAAUUUUACCUACGCUUAGGAUGUUGAUAUGCAUGACUGAUAU